GCAUGGCAGAAUUCUGUUCCAGCAAGUCUGUGGUGGAUACAGUCAGACACCAUGCAACAUCCUUGUCUCAUUUCUACUUAAUGACUGGAUGAGUGCCUCUGCCUCAUCAAACUGUUUAGGAAUGAGUACAUUA